rnacentral:rRNA from 1 species
CCUACGGGGGACAGCAGUCGAGAAUCAUUCACAAUGGGGGAAACCCUGAUGCUGCGACGCCGCGUGGGGGAAUGAAGGUCUUCGGAUUGUAAACCCCUGUCAUGUGGGAGCAAAUUAAAAAGAUAGUACCACAAGAGGAAGAGACGACUAACUCUGUGCCAGCAGCCGCGGUAAUACGUAGGUCUCAAGCGUUGUUCGGAAUCACUGGGCGUAAGGGGUGCGUAGGCGGUUUCGUAAGUCAUGUGUGAAAGGCGCGGGCUCAACCCGGGGACGGCAUAUGAUACUGCGAGACUAGAGUAAUGGAGGGGGAAGCGGAAUUCUCGGUGUAGCAGUGAAAUGCGUAGAUAUCGGGAGGAACACCAGUGGCGAAGGCGGGUUCCUGGACAUUAACUGACGCUGAGGCACGAAGGCCAGGGGAGCGAACGGGAUUAGAUACCCCUGUAGUC